UCAACCUAUGCCUAAAUAUAUCAUUUUGGGAGUAUUGCAAAUUAGUGCUUGAUGUUUGAAAAUAUAUCUAAUUAUAUACCUUGCUUAAAUCCUAAAACUUGAUGGUAUGUUGCAGGUCCGCAAAAAAGUCUGAUUGAACCAUGGCUCAGAAAAUGCGUUCUGCUGAUAUAUUUUGCUCAAUAUGAAUGAUAUGUCCUGAUGAUGUACAUUAGGGGCUGCUUCAUUUUUAAGUACAAAUCUAAGUGAACUAUCAAGGUUCCUCAUUUAACAUGUUUAUGAUCUCAACAACUUUAUAAAUUGUCUUGUGCUGAUAAAUUUUUAUUAGUAAUUAUGGAGGUAGUGCGAAGAACAAUUGUCUGCUCACCUGAAAUUGUCGCAUCGUUCUCAGAAUGUGUUACGUGGACUGUCUCCCAUUACCUACUUUGCAUCCAGUUGCAACAAAAGAAGCGUAUCUGCUCUGGCUUUCUACCGGUUGACUAAUGAUCUGUAUGAGGAACACUAUUAUCCCUGUCUCAUUCUUUCCUCUGAAUCAAGAGAAUACCAUCUCUCCGGCUAUAUCGGAUUCGGUAUCACUACUAAAAAGGGAGGCAACAAGGGCAUGUUUUCUAAGCAAGCACCAGAUGUCCAACAUUUGCUAUCAAGGUGGCAGAUGUUGAAUUCAAUAUAGCCAAUGAGAAGUUCAUGCUAAAAAGGUGGUACUGUUUACUCCCGCUGGGACCUCAAUUUACUCUUGGCCACGAUUUAGUGUGAUACCAGCAGACUGAGUUGUAUUUGUGUUUGCCUAAAAUGUGGAGUUUUUCUAUGUGUUACUAUACACAAUAUUGUAACUUUGGUUUAUUAAUAAUUUUGGAAGUGGCCUAAAGUUCUUAUA